ensembl:miRNA
UUGCAUCCCCCGCCGUUCCAGGGACCCCCAGCGUUGGCCUUUCUUCCUCUCACAACCCUCAGACACCUCAUAGGAGCCUAAAGUGGUCACCGUGGGUCCUGUGAGCAGGGAGAGGGGAGGGGUUGUGGGAUGCAGUGGGCUGCUG